rnacentral:lncRNA from 1 species
AAAAAAAAAAAAUUAUAAACAUUGUAGUUAAUUUUUUUUUUGUUUUAUUCUACUAUUGAAAUUAACGCACAUAAACUUACAAUUUAUGUUUUUAUUUCAGUGAUUUUUUUGUAUAAACCAUUUUACGACUAUUCUUUUAUUUUAUUUUACCCUUUUUAUUUAUAUUUUUGUUGCUUCAUUUUCUUUUAUUUAAUUUUUUUAGUACAUUUUGUCGUUUGUUGAUUUUAUUUUUCCUAUUUUGCUUAUUCUGCUUAUUUUACUUAUUUUUCUUAUUUUACUUGUGUUGCUUAUUGUACUUGUACUUAUUUUUCUUAUUUUACUUAUUUUAUUAUUAUAUUACUUCCUUUUAUUCCGCUUCGUUUUGCUUUGCUUUGCUUUUUUAUUUAUUUUUUUUAUUUUUUCUCACAAUAACACGUUUUUGUUCUCUUAUUGACUUAUGACUAUUAAGAGGACUUACGAAUGUUUAUACACUCAUCAGAAAACGCAGAAAAGAAAAAAAUGGAAAGAUGGAUAUUGUGAAAUAACAAUUAGUGAUUGUAUAACAAAAAUAAACCUAUUGAACGACAAUAAAGUUAACAUUGAAAACUCCAUUAGUAAUAUAGUAGACUUUCAAAACCUUGAAGAUGAAAUAGAAACAUCUAAACACUUGAUUCAGUUUUUUGAUCUUAGUAAUUAUGUUGAAAGCGAGAUUAAAAAUGAACUGACAAAGAAAAGAACACAUGUUACGUUACAGAAAAGCGAAAAUGUAAAUACAUUACAAAAUAAAAAAAUAAAAAGGGAGGCUUGCGAGCUUAAUUCAAAAGAAGAAAAUAGUUAUACAGAAAAUGGUCACACAAACAGUGAGGAGUUAGGAGACCAAACAAAUGACAAUCUAAUUACCAUUAAAAAAAUAGAUAAAUAUAUUAGUGUAAAUAAAAAAUAUAAUGCACCAAGAAAGAUUGAAUCGAAAGUAAAUGAUAAUAAAAUGAAGAGAGAGGACAGUAUGAGAAAAGUAAAUAAUACAACAUUAGUAAAUGAAUUUGAAAAUGGAAGUUUUAAUAUUAAUGAAAAGUUACAAAAAAUAAAUGAUAAUAAAGGACCAGAAUGUACAAUAAACAAAAUUAAAGAUAAAAAUAACACACAACAAUAUAUAGAAAAUGAAGAAAAGAUGUACAGUGUAACAUAUACAAAUAUUUUUCUAUUUAAUAAAAAAAACGUUAAGUGGUUUGAUGGGUACGUUAUUGAUAAAAAAAAUGUGUUAGAACUACGUAAUAUUUCACAAGAAAAAUUAUUUAUAAAAAAAAAAGACUCAAAAAUAUACGAUGAAGAAUAUUUAUCCUUUGGGAAUUAUAUGGUUUAUAACAAUUUCUUAAGUAAUAAUAAUGAUAAUAAUAAUGAGGACGUGGAUACGUAUGUAGCUUUGAAAAAGGGAUACGGUACUGCAAAUAAUAAUGAACUAUUGCAUAAGGAUAUUUAUGGUACAUCAAAAGUUAAUAUAUACAAUAAAAAAAAUGUUAGGAGUGCAAAUAAUUCGGAUAUGCGGACAAAUAACUUUAUAAAAAGUGGUAAUAAUAAUAAUAAUAAUAAUAAUAACAAUAAUCCAAUGAAAGUAAAUAUUAUGGGACUAUAUCAAAAAAAAAAAAAUGUCGAUAUUUAUAAUGAAGAGUGUAAAGAUAAUAAUUACCUUACAAAAAAAAAACAAAACUUAAAUAAUAAUAAACGUUUUUAUACAAAUCAACAGGUUGUAAGAGAAGAAGAGUUAUUUAAAUUUAAAAAAAAUACAUUAACACAUAUGAAAAACGACAAGGAAUUAAAUUUUUUUUUUUGCCAAGAUUGUGAUAGCAGUUAUAAUGUUUUUUUUUCGUAUGGAAGUGAUGAUACUGAUAACAGUGAAAAGUUUGAAGAAAUAAUUAAUAUCGGCAAAGUUGUAAGUAAAAAUCCAUUUUUAUAUAUGAGCGUUUUUAAUAAUGCUAUCCUCAAGAAUAUAGCGGAUGAAUCACAAAAAAAGUUCAAAGGAGAAAAUGAUUUUGAAGAAAAAGACAAAUCAAAGGGGGUAGAAGAGUUAGAAAAUUUACAUCGCAGUUUGGAGCAUAACGCAUUUGCUAAUAAGGGUAAUAAUGACACUAGCAUUAUCGAUAACAACAGUAAUAGCAACGGUAACAGUAAUAGCAACGGUAACAGUAAUAGCAACGGUAACAGUAAUAGCAACGGUAACAGUAAUAGCAACGGUAACAGUUAUAGCAACGGUAACAGUAAUAGCAACGGUAACUGUAAUAGCAACGGUAACAGUAAUAGCAACGGCAACAGUAGUAGCAACGGUAACAGUAGUAGCAACAGUAACAGUAGUAGCAACAGUAACAGUAGUAGCAACGGCAACAGUAGUAGCAACGGUAACAGUAGUAGAAACAGUAACAACAACAGCAAUUGUAACAUAGACAGCAACAACUACAACAAAAAAGUUGAUGAAAACAAAAAUGCAGAGCAACAUGUGGACAAAAAGAAAGAAUAUGUUAACACCCAAUUUGUUAGAGUUACUACUGAUGAUAGCUAUUCGAGCACAACUUGUAAAAAAAACGAUCAUACUAUAAAGGCCUGCUUCAAUAACUUAGAGCAUACAAAUAUUUGUUCAAAGGGUAUCGAAAAAAUAGUAGAAAAGAACGAAAAGUCAAAGUUGUUACAUAAUAAUAUAAUAAUUGAAAAAGAAAAAGCAGAUAAAAAUAUUUAUUGCGAUU